AACUUCCCAGGAGGUUACCCACCCUAGCAUACAGAGAAGAUUAGCAUGGCCCCUGCACAAGGAUGACACGCACAAAUCGAGAAAUAAAGGUCCCUUAG